UCAGACCGAUUACAGGAAGCCCAGCACAGGUUCUCAAGAGCAUCAUGCGCCACUUUCGGUUUCUCGUCCUUGUUGGGCUUUUCAUCGGCACACAAGCUCUCAACCUUACGGACCUUCUUGAAGGAUUGAACACUACUGAGACGACUUGGCUAAAGAUGCGGACUUAUAAUAUGUCGGGCCAUACCUGCGUCUACACCCAAAAAAUCGACCUGAAUGAAACAAACUACAAAUUUCUGCAAGGCUACAAGGCUGGUGAUCAAAUAGUAAACCACACCCUGUACGCAAAGCUAGGAGAGAACCAGACUGCUGGUCCUUGGAUGGUAGUCAGC
rnacentral:lncRNA from 1 species